UUCCGGUUGAUCCCGCCGGACCCGACUGCUAUUUGGGUGAGGAUAAACCAUGCGAGUUGUAUGGGAUACCUAAAUUUCCCAUAGCAAACUGCUUAGUAACACAUGAUCAACUUACCCUAUGGAGAAAUAUAACCUCGGGAAACUGAGGAUAAUGCUUCAUAGUUGAAUAGGCUUGGAAAAGUUUUUCAAUGAAAGGGAUAAGAAAAAUGGUUCUUAUCUGCCAUAGGAUAGGGUCGUGCUCGAUUAUGGUUGUUGGUGAGGUAACGGCUCACCAAGCCGAUAAUCGAUAGGGGCCGUGAGAGCGGGGGCCCCAAGAUGGGUACUGAGACAGCGACCCAGGCCUUACGAGGCGCAGCAGGUACGAAACCUCCGCAAUACACGAAAGUGUGACGGGGUUACCCAAAGUGUUCUUAUAGAACUGUGGCAGGUGAGUAAUGUCCCCUGCUAGAAAGGAGAGGGCAAGGCUGGUGCCAGCCGCCGCGGUAAAACCAGCUCUUCAAGUGGUCGGGAUAAUUAUUGGGCUUAAAGUGUCCGUAGCCGGUUUAGUAAGUUCCUGGUAAAAUCAGGUAGCUUAACUAUCUGCAUGCUAGGAAUACUGCUAUACUAGAGGGCGGGAGAGGUCUGAGGUACUACAGGGGUAGGGGUGAAAUCUUAUAAUCCUUGUAGGACCACCAGUGGCGAAGGCGUCAGACUGGAACGCGCCUGACGGUGAGGGACGAAAGCCAGGGGAGCGAACCGGAUUAGAUACCCGGGUAGUCCUGGCCGUAAACGAUGCAUACUAGGUGAUGAUACGGCCAUGAGCCGUGUCAGUGCCGUAGGGAAGCCGUUAAGUGUGCCGCCUGGGAAGUACGGUCGCAAGGCUAAAACUUAAAGGAAUUGGCGGGGGAGCACCACAAGGGGUGAAGCCUGCGGUUCAAUUGGAUUCAACGCCGGA
rnacentral:rRNA from 1 species